GCCUUAAAGGGACAGUGCGCCGCGCGCGCCCUCUGCUUUAAGGCGUUAACCCUAGUAGUGGCUCGUUGGAAAAGACCGCGAUGCUGGGAGAGAUGGAAGGCGGGAGGAGAAGGGGACGACAGAGGAUGAGAUGGUGGGAUGGCAUCACCGACUCGAUGGACAUGAGCAAGCUCUGGGAGAUGGUGAGGGACAGGGAGGCCUGGCGUGCUGCAGUCCAUGGGGUCGCAAAGAGUCGGAGACGACUGAGCGACUGAACUGAACUGGUAGUGAGGAGUUCAGGACCUUCUGCACCUUCUAAACACUGAAGUAUGGUGAUGCCUACAGGAAGUACUUGCGCGCCCCUUGGGUGUUCACAUCCUGAGCGCGCCCUGCAGCAGCGCCCCAGGGAGGAGCCGAGCUCCCCGUCCCCGGGAUUAGCGGGGCGCUGGAGGUGUCGCGUCUCUCCGCAGCCGCGCAAGCCGGGGAGUGGCGGCGGCCGCGUCCACAGCCCCCGGCGCGCCUAGGCGGUUCUCCGCGUGGCAUCUCCAUUAGUAUCGGGACACCCCUGUGAGGGGCCCUGGCCUUCCAACUUGGAAGAGAGGAACCUUGAGCUCCGAAAGGUUCGGAACCUGGACUCGGAGCUGCGCCCACCGGCUCCCCCGCAGGAUCUGCGGCGGAGUCGGCGGGGCCUUCCCGCCCCUGGGUCAAGAGUUGUCUCCUGAGCCCCCAGCGCGGAGAUGCGAACUGUCGCUGCGUGCGGGCUACUCUGGGGUCUGCGGGGUGAUGGCCCAGACAGAUGAGGAAGACGGAGGUUCAGAGAGUCCCAAGGCCAAAGUGGACGGCAGAGCUGGGACUUGACCUGCCCUCGGCCUGGAGUCCACGGCGUGUCCCUCUUCCCCGCGCAGAUUCGAUCUCCCCAUAGCUGGACCCACAGUCACCCUGCGGCCAGCCCCACUGCGAGGCUCCUGUCUCAGGCUUCUCCCGCGUCCCCCUACAAGGCGCCAGCGAUCCAGUUCCCACAGCCGCCGUGAGCCCUUGGCUGCAAGCUUGGGUCGCGGCCAAGGUUCCAUGUCUGCAGAUUGCUUCUGUGGGCUAAGAUCCAGGAGCCCAGUUGGGUCGCAAGAUGGGAACCUUCUCGGUGGGACAUGUAACCCAGGAGAAGGGUGCCCUUCAUGUGGGUGAGUGAGAGUGCCAACCCGAGGUGUCUCUACCCGGGGUCUCGCCCGGGGUCUCGCCCGGGGGCUGGAGGGGACCCAGGGCUGCAGCAGGGCACGCGGAAGCCAGGCAGACCCAGCACCCGCCUCGCUGGGUUUCCCACGGCUCGCUGAGAAUUCCCUGACGAGGAGCAACCGGCCUAAAAUAGAAAAGCUGACACUGGGGAAACGCCAGGGGCCAAAGUCUGUGCCCAGGCGGUCUUGCUGCAGCCGCUCUUCCAGGGAGCCUGUCCGCUUGCCUCCAUCCCCAGGGUCUUUAAAUCCCCCCGCAAACAGCUAAGGGCCUGGCAUUUGCAGGGAUCAGGGGCGUGGACCGGACCGGCCAGCCUCUGCGUUUCCUCACGCCUGUCUUCUUCUGUGAGCCUGGCCUCAGGGAUGAAACCCGAGGCAGAGAGGGCUGCCUGGCCACGCCCAGACCCUUUGCAAGAGCUUCCAGCCCCCAGUGGACAGGACAGGCGUUCCCCAGCUGUGGGCUUGCUCUGGGAAGUUGGAGCGGGCUGGAAAUUGGGGCCGUCUGGUUCUGUCUCGGGCAGAGGAAGUGGGGUGUGGAUGUUCUGGCUAGUUCUAAUCCCAGACGGUAACUUAUGUAGAAGCUGUCUGGGGACCAAGCAGGAGGGACUGUGACGGUAGGGCUGCCGUUUAAAUGAGAGAAGCAGCGAUGCCGACAGCCCCAGUGAAGAAUGGACCUCGGUGCCCUGUGAGUGCACAGACCCCUUCCGGGAAUCAUUCUCUCCGAAACAGCUGCAGGAGUCAGCUGCCAGAGGAUGUUCAGGACAACAUUUUUUUUUUUCUAUUUUGGCUGUAUGGCUUUCGAGGUCUUAGUUCUCUGACCAGGGAUCCUGCCUGAGCCCCCGGAAGUAGAAGUGCAGAGUCCUUCCACUGGACCGCCAAGGAAGCCCCACAGCAAUGCUAUUUACAAAGAUGAAAUACUUGGAGACGACGUAAACACCCAGCUCUGAAGGAAGAGGCAAAGCAGUCACCUCAUGGUUCACUUGCUAAACUGUGUCCGACUCUUUGUGACCCCAUGGACUGCAGCACGCCAGGCCUCCCUGUCGUUCCCCAUGCCCUGGAGUUUGCUCAAAGUCAUGUCCAUCGAGUCAGUGAUACCAUCCAACCAUCUCAUCCUCUGUCGUCCCCUUCUCCUCCUGCCCUCAAUCUUUUCCAGCAUCAGGGUCUUUUCCAAUAAGUGGGCUCUUCGCAUCAGGUGGCCAAAGUAUUGGAGCUUCAGCUUCAGCAUGAGUCCUUCCGAUGAACAUUCAGGGCUGAUUUUCUUUUAGGAUGGACUGGUUUGAUCUCCCUGCUGUCCAAGGGACUCUCAUGAGUCUUCUCCAGAGUACACUGCUUCCUGGAACAUUCUGUAGACUCCAAAGGACUGAGUAGGAGACUGACGCACAGUUCAGCUGCUGCUGCUGCUAAGUCGCUUCAGUCGUGCCCGACUCUGUGCGACCCCAUAGACGGCAGCCCACCAGACUCCCCCGUCCCUGGGAUUCUCCAGGCAAGAACACUGGAGUGGGCUGCCAUUUCCUUCUCCAAUGCAUGAAAGUGAAAAGUGAAAGUGAAGUCGCUCAGUCAUGUCCAACCCUCAGCGACCCCAUGGACUGCAACCCACCAGGCUCCUCCUUCCAUGGGAUUUUCCAGGCAAGAGUACUGGAGUGGGGUGCCAUCGCCUUCUCUGACAGUUCAGCUAGGCCACUGCGAACAUCUCUCCCUCCAUGCAGCCCAUUCCCUGGCCCCCUCUCACCCACCAGCACCCCUGAAACGGACCCAUGUAUCCUGUGCUGCCAGGAGCCUUGGACGUGAAGCUGGCCCCAUAGGGCCCCGGCUCUGAGGAGCUCUCCAGGCCAGACCCACAGGUCACUGGUCCCAGAACGUGGUUCCGGAUUCUAGAAUAGGCUUCUCGUGGGUUGGUGGAAAGUCAAGGAGGCCUUUCCAGAUGGUGUAGGACCAGAGAUACCCAAGGGCAGGGGCUGCCCUCCAACCAGGACGCAGGCUUGGGAGCCAGGGGGCAACGGGCAGGGUGUGGCGAACAGGCCACAUAAACAAAGGCCGGUGUCGUGGAGGCGCAAAUGGCCGACGCUGGAGCAGUGAGUAGGGCCCAGCCGCAAGCUCUGGAGAGCUGGGGCCUAGGAGGCAGAAGGGGACAAGCUCAGAGCCUCCUGCAGCUCAAGGCAGGGAGGCCAGCCUGCAGCCCUCACACCUGGGGUCACUCCAGGUCCGCAGAAGAUCCAGAGGACAAAAGGAUGACAGAAACCACGCCUCCGGGGGCAGCAGCGGGGAUGGGGCUGAGAGCAGGGCUCCAGGCUCAGGCCGUGGC
ensembl:lncRNA